UCGCUCAACGGAUAAAAGGUACUCCGGGGAUAACAGGCUGAUACCGCCCAAGAGUUCAUAUCGACGGCGGUGUUUGGCACCUCGAUGUCGGCUCAUCACAUCCUGGGGCUGAAGUAGGUCCCAAGGGUAUGGCUGUUCGCCAUUUAAAGUGGUACGCGAGCUGGGUUUAGAACGUCGUGAGACAGUUCGGUCCCUAUCUGCCGUGGGCGCUGGAGAACUGAGGGGGGCUGCUCCUAGUACGAGAGGACCGGAGUGGACGCAUCACUGGUGUUCGGGUUGUCAUGCCAAUGGCACUGCCCGGUAGCUAAAUGCGGAAGAGAUAAGUGCUGAAAGCAUCUAAGCACGAAACUUGCC
rnacentral:rRNA from 1 species